GCAAGUCGAACGAACCCUUCGGGGUUAGUGGCAGACGGGUGAGUAACGCGUGAGUAACGUGCCUUUUUUCUGGGGAUACCGUUUGGAAACGAACGUUAAUACCGAAUGUGCUCAUUUUACGGCAUCGUAGAAUGAGUAAACUGUUAGGGAGAAAAGAGCGACUCGCGUUCUAUCAGCUUGUUGGUGGGGUAACGGCCUACCAAGGCUACGACGGAUAACUGGUCUGAGAGGAUGAUC
rnacentral:rRNA from 1 species